CCUACGGGCGGCUGCAGUAGGGAAUCUUCCACAAUGGGCGAAAGCCUGAUGGAGCAACGCCGCGUGGGUGAAGAAGGUCUUCGGAUCGUAAAACCCUGUUGUUAGAGAAGAAAGUGCGUGAGAGUAACUGUUCACGUUUCGACGGUAUCUAACCAGAAAGCCACGGCUAACUACGUGCCAGCAGCCGCGGUAAUACGUAGGUGGCAAGCGUUAUCCGGAUUUAUUGGGCGUAAAGGGAACGCAGGCGGUCUUUUAAGUCUGAUGUGAAAGGCUUCGGCUUAACCGGAGUAGUGCAUUGGAAACUGGUAGACUUGAGUGCAGAAGAGGAGGGUGGAACUCCAUGUGUAGCGGUGAAAUGCGUAGAUAUAUGGAAGAACACCAGUGGCGAAGGCGGCUCUCUGGUCUGUAACUGACGCUGAGGUUCGAAAGCGUGGGUAGCAAACAGGAUUAGAUACCCUAGUAGUC
rnacentral:rRNA from 1 species